GAUGAACGCUGGCGGCGUGCUUAACACAUGCAAGUCGAACGGACCUUCGGGUUAGUGGCGGGCGGGUGAGUAACGCGUGAGAAUCUGCCCUCAGGAGGGGGAUAACGGUUGGAAACGACCGCUAAUACCCCAUAUGCCGAUAGGUGAAAUGAAUUUCGCCUGAGGAUGAGCUCGCGUCUGAUUAGCUUGUUGGUGAGGUAAUGGCUCACCAAGGCUUCGAUCAGUAGCUGGUCUGAGAGGAUGAUCAGCCACACUGGGACUGAGACACGGCCCAGACUCCUACGGGAGGCAGCAGUGGGGAAUUUUCCGCAAUGGGCGAAAGCCUGACGGAGCAACGCCGCGUGAGGGACGAAGGCCUCUGGGCUGUAAACCUCUUUUCUCAAGGAAGAAGAUAUGACGGUACUUGAGGAAUAAGCCACGGCUAAUUCCGUGCCAGCAGCCGCGGUAAUACGGGAGUGGCAAGCGUUAUCCGGAAUUAUUGGGCGUAAAGCGUCCGCAGGCGGCCUUUCAAGUCUGCUGUUAAAGCGUGGAGCUUAACUCCAUUAUGGCAGUGGAAACUGAUCGGCUUGAGUAUGGUAGGGGCAGAGGGAAUUCCCGGUGUAGCGGUGAAAUGCGUAGAUAUCGGGAAGAACACCAGUGGCGAAGGCGCUCUGCUGGGCCAUUACUGACGCUCAUGGACGAAAGCCAGGGGAGCGAAAGGGAUUAGAUACCCCUGUAGUCCUGGCCGUAAACGAUGAACACUAGGUGUCGGGGGAAUCGACCCCUUCGGUGUCGUAGCUAACGCGUUAAGUGUUCCGCCUGGGGAGUACGCACGCAAGUGUGAAACUCAAAGGAAUUGACGGGGGCCCGCACAAGCGGCGGAGUAUGUGGUUUAAUUCGAUGCAACGCGAAGAACCUUACCAGGGUUUGACAUCCUGAGAACCUCUUAGAAAUUUGAGGGUGCCUUCGGGAAUUCAGUGACAGGUGGUGCAUGGCUGUCGUCAGCUCGUGUCGUGAGAUGUUGGGUUAAGUCCCGCAACGAGCGCAACCCACGUUUUUAGUUGCCAGCAUUUAGUUGGGCACUCUAGAAAGACCGCCGGUGAUAAACCGGAGGAAGGUGUGGAUGACGUCAAGUCAUCAUGCCCCUUACACCCUGGGCUACACACGUACUACAAUGCUACGGACAAAGGGCAGCAAACUCGCGAGAGCUAGCAAAUCCCAUAAACCGUGGCUCAGUUCAGAUCGUAGGCUGCAACUCGCCUACGUGAAGUAGGAAUCGCUGGUAAUCGCAGGUCAGCAUACUGCGGUGAAUACGUUCCCGGGCCUUGUACACACCGCCCGUC
rnacentral:rRNA from 1 species